ACGGAAGGCAGCAGUGGGGAAUAUUGGGCAAUGGGCGAAAGCCUGACCUAGCGACGCCGCGUGAGCGAAGACGGUCUUCGGAUUGUAAAGCUCUGUGUACAGGAACGAUAAUGACGGUACCUGUAUAGAAAGCCACGGCUAACUACGUGCCAGCAGCCGCGGUAAUACGUAGGUGGCAAGCGUUAUCCGGAUUUACUGGGUGUAAAGGGUGUGUAGGCGGGCGAUCAAGUCAGAUGUGAAAUCCAUGGGCUCAACUCAUGGGCCGCGUCUGAAACUGUUAUUCUUGAGUGUCGGAGGGGUAAGCGGAAUUCCUGGUGUAGCGGUGAAAUGCGUAGAUAUCAGGAGGAACACCGGUGGCGAAGGCGGAUUACUGGACGACAACUGACGCUGAGACACGAAAGCGUGGGGAGCAAACAGGAUUAGAUACCCUGGUA
rnacentral:rRNA from 1 species